GCACGAAAGGCGCAACGAUCUGGGCACUGUCUCAACGAGAGACUCGGUGAAAUUAUAGUACCUGUGAAGAUGCAGGUUACCCGCGACAGGACGGAAAGACCCCGUGGAGCUUUACUGCAGCCUGAUAUUGAAUGUUGGUACAGCUUGUACAGGAUAGGUAGGAGCCUUGGAAACCGGAGCGCCAGCUUCGGUGGAGGCAUCGGUGGGAUACUACCCUGGCUGUAUUGACCUUCUAACCCGCCGCCCUUAUCGGGCGGGGAGACAGUGUCAGGUGGGCAGUUUGACUGGGGCGGUCGCCUCCUAAAAGGUAACGGAGGCGCCCAAAGGUUCCCUCAGAAUGGUUGGAAAUCAUUCGCAGAGUGUAAAGGCACAAGGGAGCUUGACUGCGAGACCUACAAGUCGAGCAGGGACGAAAGUCGGGCUUAGUGAUCC
rnacentral:rRNA from 1 species